rnacentral:lncRNA from 1 species
CAUUUGAUAUCUAUCUGUGCUAAUCUUCCAUGUACAGUGACUGGUACUUGUCUGAAGCUUUGAGACCGAAGUAGGAGAAACAAAUCUAAAUCUGCUACAAAUAAUUAAAUGAAACAGAAAUAUAUUUCAGCUGACUAAAAGUUGUGUUUUCUCCCCACUUCACCUCACGUCAUUAGAAGAUUCGUGUGUCCAUUCUCUACAUAAAUAAAAACUUGUCUGUUUGUUUUGGAAACUGUUUUCUAGGGAAAGUGAGACUGCGUCAUGGGCUAUGUGAUGAGGUAGAACUCUGAUCAUAUGGGAACUAACAGAUUAUCUCAAUACAAAUUUAUAAAGUUGGCUUUGACUUUACUAGGACAACAGGAGCCUUGUCCAAGCAGCUUUCACCAUGACUGGCACUAGCUGUGAGACUGGGCUUGUUCUUAGAGUUUCACUGGGGAAAGAUUUAGCACCAGGAAGUUUCUGUUUGCAUGCCUGCUUGUGUAAUGGAUGGUACAUUUCUUUCUUUACUAUUUCAGGUUUUUCCUGGCUCACAGAGCAGCAUCUUGUAAUAUCAUAAUAUCCUCUAUUUAGACAAAUGCAAGGAAGAACUCAGGAUCUCACCAGUUUGGUGGUUGUUUUUUGAACUUUCUGAAGGAUAUCUGGCAAUAUGAAGCUGCUACCCUGAAUCUUGAUGGUAGGGUCAAGCUCAGUUGUCUUCCUCAGCUCUUUGACUUCAACUGUCUUCUUGGAUAUGACUUCAAACUAAAAAGUCCCCCAGCUGAAUUAUGCCCCUUCGUCAUGGAAUUCACACCCCACCCCCUCCACUGACGCAAACUUUGGAGAGCAGCUCCAUGGAGGAUAACUUAAGUGCUGCCUGCAGACCUAAGUCUAUGGGUCCUACAAAGGCAAAGAAUCUUUUCAAACUUGACAGAAGUUGGAUGAUGUCAAUGAAUGUGCAAAUAUGCCUGAUGCUAUGGAACUAG